rnacentral:rRNA from 1 species
GAACGGUAGCACAGAGGAGCUUGCUCCUUGGGUGACGAGUGGCGGACGGGUGAGUAAUGUCUGGGAAACUGCCCGAUGGAGGGGGAUAACUACUGGAAACGGUAGCUAAUACCGCAUAACGUCUUCGGACCAAAGUGGGGGACCUUCGGGCCUCACGCCAUCGGAUGUGCCCAGAUGGGAUUAGCUAGUAGGUGGGGUAAUGGCUCACCUAGGCGACGAUCCCUAGCUGGUCUGAGAGGAUGACCAGCCACACUGGAACUGAGACACGGUCCAGACUCCUACGGGAGGCAGCAGUGGGGAAUAUUGCACAAUGGGCGCAAGCCUGAUGCAGCCAUGCCGCGUGUAUGAAGAAGGCCUUCGGGUUGUAAAGUACUUUCAGCGGGGAGGAAGGCGAUGAGGUUAAUAACCUUAUCGAUUGACGUUACCCGCAGAAGAAGCACCGGCUAACUCCGUG